GGUUGGAACCAGCCCUGGGCAGGAUGUCAUCCCAUUGCAGGGGGCACCUAUACCCACCCACGCUUACACUCCCUCACACUGGUGAGAGGUGAAGCCGGCUGGGCUUCUGGGUCGGGUGGGGACUUGGAGAGCUUUUCGGUCUAGCUAAAGGAUUGUAAACACACCAAUCAGCACUCUGUGUCUAGCUAAAGGUUUGUAAACAGCACCAAUUAGCACUCUGUAAAAACGCACCAAUCAGCGCUCUGUGUCUAGCUAAAGGUUUGUAAAGACACCAGUCAGCCCUCAGUAAAAAUGGACCAAUCAGCACUCUGUAAAAUGGACAAAUCAGCGCUCUGUAAAAUGGACAACUCAGCAGGAUGUGGGCGGGGCCAAAUAAGGAAAUAAAAGGUGGACACCCCGGCUAGCAGCAGCAACUUGCUUUGGGUCCGUUUCCACGCUUUGGUCUUUCUCUCUUGGCAGUAAAUCUUGCUGCUCCUCACUUUUUGGGUUAGUACUACGUUUAUGAGCUGUCACACUCACCGGGAAGGUCUACAGCUUCACUCCUGAAGCCAGUGAGACCGUUAACCCACCAGGAGGAACGGGCAACUCAGACCGCGCCACCUUUAAGAGCUGUAACACUCACCGCGAAGGUCUGCGGCUUCACUCCAGAAGUCAGCGAGACCACGAAUCCUGCGGGAGGAACGAACUCCGACCGCGCCACCUUUAAGAGCUGUAACACUCACUGCGAAGGUCUGUGGCUUCACUCUUGAAGUCAGCAAGACCACGAACCCACCAGAAGGAAGAAACUCCGGACACAUCUGAACAUCUGAAGGAACUCGGGACACGCCAUCUUUAAGAACUGUUAACACUCACUGCGGGGGUCUGCGGCUUCAUUCCUGACGUCAGCGAGACCAAGAACCCACCGGAAGGAACCAGUUCCAGACAUACUGGGACCGUGUGGAUACGUCGGUAAACCUGACAUGCACAUCUUUAGGAGAUAGCUGGAGAAAACCCAUGCAGAUUGUGGGUUUAUCCCCAGCUGGGGAUAGAUUUUUUUUCCCCAUCAAUAUUGUAAAGAAAACUGAAUGAAUUAGUUAUUCAAGAACCAGCUGUACCUCUUACAUAGGGUUGUCCCGAGGGCUAUGAGAGAUCAUGUUUGUAAAGUGCCCAAGAAGCAGUGGCUACUAUUAUUACUAACUUGCUUUUUCUGUGCAGUAACUUUAUAAGAUAAAUUUUGCCACAGUUUUAUAGAUGAAGAGACUGAGGCAAAUGGAGGUCCCUUAAUUUACCAGAAGUCUUCUACCUUAAGAAAGACAAGACUCGGAUUCUAAUUUAAGUCAUUUUGAUACAUUCUACUCUCCCCACCACAGCAUAUUAAAUGUAAUGCACACUCAAAAAUACUGGGUUUUUUUUUUGUUUUUUUUUUUUGAGACAGAGUUUCGCACUUUUUGCCCAGGCUGGAGUGCAAUGGCGCGACCUUGGCUCCACCUCUUGGGUUCAAAUGAUUCUCCUGCCUCAGCCUUCUGAGUAGCUGGGAUUACAGGCAUGCAUCAGCACGCCUGGCUAAUUUUGUAUUUUUAGUAGAGAUGGGGUUUCUCCAUGUUGCUCAGGCUGGUCUCGAACUCCUGACUUCAGGUGAUCCUCCCACCUAGGCCUCCCAGAGUGUUGGGAUUAUAGGUGUGAGCCACUGCGCCUGGCCUGGAUUUCUCUAUUUGUUUAUGCGAAAUCGUCUACUGGCAUUACCAUCUCUCAAAACAUUUUCCUGGACUUUUAACUAAAGAUUUUUUCCAUUGUAAUGGGCACAAGUGCAAUUUCCCUUUCAUUUUAAGAGACUGUGAGAAGUAACAAAUCAGGUGAUGGUCUUGUUUUCCCAAGCUGCUACAGAGCUUCUGCAGCUCCAAGCAUGACCACUAUAUUUGGCUGCUUAAAAGCAUAACAAGGGCAGAAAUCAUAAAGGCUUUGCCCAGAGGGCCUUGAUUGUCCUUGCCUUCUUGUCCUUUGGUGAGAACUUCAUUGGUGGUGGCUCCAAAAAUCAGGAGACUUUCUGUGAUGAAUUCACCAUAAGAACGUGGGACCCAGCCUCCCUUGAAGGACGUCCUAUAUGAUGCCUGUUUCCAAGGGAAGAAGUAAAGUCAAGAAACAAGAUAUCCUCAAGCUACUCUUAGGAUCAGUGUCUGCAUAGAUCUGGCACACAGAAAUGCAAGGAAACAAUUUGUGCAAAGCAUUAAAAAAAAAAGGGGGGACCCUGAGAGUAUAACAAGUGCUCCUGAGAGAGGACAGACGGAGAGGACGCAUGGGCAGGGAUGGCCGCCCUGAGCAGCUGAUGUUCGAGCUAAGAUCUGAAAGGUGCAUGAUUUCCCACUUACCUCCCGCAACCACUACCACCCACGUUGUCCACAGUAUUCAGCUGUCUCAGGGAGGAUCACAAUUAUUCUAAUGGGACUGCAAAGAGUGAAGGACACAGCUUUUAACAUCAGAUUCGAAUCCUACAAUUUGGAACCCAUGGGCACUUCUAGAUUGGAUCUUGCAGAGAUUUUUUACAACAGAAAUAAUGGAAAGGCAAAAGAAAACAUUGAGUAAUAACCAACCCAAGCAAGUCCAGCCUCUUUCUGCAGAAGCAGAUAAUCAGGAUGACUCCACCUUUGUACCUGACUGAGGAACUUAGUGAACCCUGAAGAAAUGAUGAUUAAAGAGACAAUGAAGAGGCCAGGCGCAGUGGCUCAUGCCUGUAAUCCCAGCACUUUGGGAGGCCGAGGUAGGCGGAUCAUGAGGUCAGGAAAUCGAGACCAUCCUGGCUAACAUGGUGAAACUCUAUCUCUACUAAAAAUACAAAAAAUAAGCUGGGUGUGGUGGCACGUGCCUGUAAUCCCAGCUACUCAGGAAGCUGAGACAGGAGAAUCGCUUGAACCCAGGAGGUGGAGGUUGCAGUGAGCCGAAGUCGUGCCGUUGCACUCCAGUCCGGGUGACAGAGUGAGACUCUGUCUCAAAAAAAAAAAAAAAAAAAAAGGACAAUGAAGACAGGAGACAUUGGGCUGUGCCCUUCUAGAUAUGACAGGGAGCAAAUAAGCCAACUCCAGGUCAGUAUAAAAUCCUAGGUGAUCAUUAAAAUCACUUAAAUAAGCCAACUCCAGGUCAGCAUAAAAUCCUAGGCGAUCAUUAAAAUCACUUAAAAUUAAAAUCCUAGGUGAUCAUUAAAACCACUUCAAAAAGACAUGUUUUGGGAGCUAUGUGUUCAGGGAAACAGAGGAGAAAACAACUGGGACUCUAUGAGGUGCCAGGUUUGAAGCUGUAUGGAUGUGACUGAUGUCAGGUUUUCAUGAGCCCAGUGGAAAAUUUAGAGGCAGUAAACUGGGCAACUGGGGCUGUUGGUGCUUGAGUAAUGCUUGGGCAUCAAGAUCUCCAAACUGUGUGGCCGCACCUGUGGUCCUAGCUACUCAGGAGGCUGAGGUGGGAGGAUAGUUGGAGCCUGGGAGAUUGAGGCUGCAGUGAGCUGUGAUGGUGCCACUGUACUCUAGCCUGGGUGACAGAGCGAGACUUGUCUCAAAAAAAAAAAAAUCUCCAAACUGGACUCUCUCUCACUAGGGAUUUGUCUCUUUCUCCUCUCCUUCUCUUCCUUCCUAAUUAUCUCCUUUUCUUUAUUCACAAUAUAUAUAUCCUCAACUAUGGAUAAGUGUGCUUAUACUCAGCUAUAUUUUCUUUUUUUCCAGCUAUAUUGAUGUAUAAUUGACAAAUAAAAAUUAGAUAUUGUUAAGGUGUACAACAUAGUGCUUGACAGAUAUAUACAUUGUGAAAUAAUUACCACAACCAAGCAAGCUAGUUAACAUAUCCAUCACCUCAUGUAGUUACUUUUUUGGGUUUUUUUUUUUUUGGUGUGGUGAGAACACUGAAAAUCAACUCUCUUAGCAAAUUUUGAGUAUUCAAUGAAGUAUACUUGAAUAACACUGUAUACAAAUUCAAGUAUAAAUUCAAGUAUACAAUGCUAUUAGCUAUAGUCAUCCUGCUAUAUAUUAGUUCUCCAGAACCUACUCAUCAUAUAAGUUAACGUUUGUACCCUUUGCCCAAGACCGCCCCACUUCCUCCUCCCACCAGCUGCUGGUAACAACCAUUCUACUCUCUGUUUCUAUGAGUUUGACUUUUUUAGGUUUUGCAUAGAAGUGACAUCAUGCAGUAUUUAUCUUUCUGUGUCUGGCUUGUUUCAUUUAGCAUAACGUCUUGCAGGUUCAUUCAUGUUGUCGCAAAUGGCAGGAUUUCCUUAUUUUUAAAGGCUGAAUAUUCCAUUGUGUGUGAAAAUAUAUGAUAUCAACUGUAUUUUCAUAUAUGUGUCUAACUGGAUGGCCUCUUAAUAAACUUUAAAGGAUUAAAGAUUGUCAUUAGAGAAUUCUAAAUAAGGUGGUUUUAGGUUCAUAUUAUACAAUACAUGUAAUGUGCAUGCAUUAUGUCGACUCUUAUUAAAUUCUAAGUCCUACUCAAUAGUGUUGAGAGCAUUAAUGCACCCAAGAAUUUUGUUUUUUUAUUUAACUUAGUGAGAAAAUAUAACUUAAUAUAUAGCAAUUCACUUAGAUUGAUAUAGAAGUAAUUAACACCACAUUCUUAUUAAUAGAUUUCU
rnacentral:lncRNA from 10 species